CUUGCUGGAGUACAACUACAGGAGCUGUAUAUAUGUGUGUAGAGGACAAAGUUUUCCUCUCGUAUUCUUCUGUUGCUGGUUCUUCUGUUUCAACACUGACCUGAGGAGAAGCUCCAAGGGAUGAAAG